rnacentral:rRNA from 1 species
UACAGAGGGUGCAAGCGUUGUUCGGAAUUAUUGGGCGUAAAGGGCGCGUAGGCGGCUUGACAAGUCACUUGUGAAAUCUCCGGGCUUAACUCGGAACGGCCAAGUGAAACUGUCAUGCUAGAGUGCAGAAGGGGCAAUCGGAAUUCUUGGUGUAGCGGUGAAAUGCGUAGAUAUCGUGAGGAACACCAGAGGCGAAGGCGGCUACCUGGACAAUUGCUGACGCUCAGGCACGAAAGCGUGGGGAGCAAAAGGG